UACGUAGGGUGCGAGCGUUGUCCGGAAUUAUUGGGCGUAAAGGGCUCGUAGGCGGUUUGUCGCGUCGGGAGUGAAAUCCACUGGCUUAACUGGUGGCUUGCUUUCGAUACGGGCAGACUGGAGGUAUGCAGGGGAGAACGGAAGUUCCUGGUGUAGCGGUGAAAUGCGCAGAUAUCAGGAGGAACACCGGUGGCGAAGGCGGUUCUCUGGGCAUGUCCUGACGCUGAGGAGCGAAAGUGUGGGGAGCGAACAGG
rnacentral:rRNA from 1 species